UACAUACUAGCCUAAUUGGAAAAGGCACUUGACUUGAAAGCGAGUGAUUACAGGUUCAAAUCCUGUGUAUGAAUCAA
rnacentral:tRNA from 1 species